CAGCAGGAUGUUCUCAGCAGAUGU
rnacentral:misc_RNA from 1 species